UCCGCAUGGCGCUGCUAUAAUGCAAGUCGAGCGGACAGAUGGGAGCUUGCUCCCUGAUGUUAGCGGCGGACGGGUGAGUAACACGUGGGUAACCUGCCUGUAAGACUGGGAUAACUCCGGGAAACCGGGGCUAAUACCGGAUGCUUGAUUGAACCGCAUGGUUCAAUUAUAAAAGGUGGCUUUUAGCUACCACUUACAGAUGGACCCGCGGCGCAUUAGCUAGUUGGUGAGGUAACGGCUCACCAAGGCAACGAUGCGUAGCCGACCUGAGAGGGUGAUCGGCCACACUGGGACUGAGACACGGCCCAGACUCCUACGGGAGGCAGCAGUAGGGAAUCUUCCGCAAUGGACGAAAGUCUGACGGAGCAACGCCGCGUGAGUGAUGAAGGUUUUCGGAUCGUAAAACUCUGUUGUUAGGGAAGAACAAGUACCGUUCGAAUAGGGCGGUACCUUGACGGUACCUAACCAGAAAGCCACGGCUAACUACGUGCCAGCAGCCGCGGUAAUACGUAGGUGGCAAGCGUUGUCCGGAAUUAUUGGGCGUAAAGCGCGCGCAGGCGGUUUCUUAAGUCUGAUGUGAAAGCCCCCGGCUCAACCGGGGAGGGUCAUUGGAAACUGGGGAACUUGAGUGCAGAAGAGGAGAGUGGAAUUCCACGUGUAGCGGUGAAAUGCGUAGAGAUGUGGAGGAACACCAGUGGCGAAGGCGACUCUCUGGUCUGUAACUGACGCUGAGGCGCGAAAGCGUGGGGAGCGAACAGGAUUAGAUACCCUGGUAGUCCACGCCGUAAACGAUGAGUGCUAAGUGUUAGAGGGUUUCCGCCCUUUAGUGCUGCAGCAAACGCAUUAAGCACUCCGCCUGGGGGAGUACGGUCGCAAGACUGAAACUCAAAGGAAUUGACGGGGGCCCGCCCAAGCGGUGGAAGCAUGUGGUUUAUUCAAAGCAACGCGAAAAAACU
rnacentral:rRNA from 1 species